rnacentral:lncRNA from 1 species
AGAUUUUUUACCAAAACUGCAAAUUUUGAUGUUUAUCUCGUCACAUUUUAAACUGUAAGGGGUGUGCCUUGAAGAAAAUUUCACGAGGAAACCAAUGGAGCCACUCAAAGAACCUGAAAGUUGUGUAGAAACGGAGUUUUAAGCGUUUAAAUUUUCCAAAUUUCGUCCGACCUCACCUAUUGACUAGAUCCAUUGUGCGGCGUUUGAGUAUGUUGCUGUUGUUUUGGACAUUAUAGGCAUGUAUGAAUCCUCGCGAUGGGAUCGGGACGGUCUUCAAGCUUAUCUAAUUGCCCGAUUUCGUUGAUAAACGCCCCUUUCUGCUUUUAUUUUCAUCUUGUCAGUAGUCCUCUUCAACUCCUCGCCCAAGUGGGUACGGAUCGCUUCUUUUUUAUCCCAUCUGUGGUCAUUUCCGCGUCCAGGUUCGUCGCGUCGAAACCGAGUCCUGUGUCUCUCGUUUGUCAGAUUUCGAGGAGCUCUGCCGAUGCACUUUCAGCAGACUGAACUUAUUGUUGGUUUGUUAUGCGUUACGAAAAACGUGCUCAGUAUCGCAGUCAAGAAUGGUAAAAUUGAAAUGUUUUCGCGGACUCUUACAAUCCUCUCGCCUCUCGUGCACCGCUCGGUAACGUUCUGCUGAAGUGCCGUCAAUAGGAGGUGUUACGUCCUUUUCCGAACGUGUUGCGUCCCGUUUUGGACGUGUUGCGUUCCUUUUUGGACGUGUUGCGUCCUUUUCCGAACGUGUUGCGUCCGUUUUUGGACGUGUUGCGCUGACCUUGGAGGGCAGAACGAACCGAUGUCCUGGUUGAAAACUCCACUCCUAGGGACGGUGGAACGCACCUCCAGUGGAAGCAGUCUCCGAUCUUGGCUUGGAGCCGUCACACCCAGCAGGAAUAGCGAGGUAGUCUAUCGAUGGCUAAAGUGCGACACCACUUAUCUCCAUUUCGGUGUUUCAAAAAUUCCUCUCCGAUUCCACUUUUUUGAAGAGAAACAAGUCGAUUUUAUGGCUUGGAAUUCACGCAGAAGAUUCUGCUUUUAGAGGAGGAAAAUCAAGGAAGUUUUCAAGCCAAGUUGACUAAGUUUUCUUAAGAAAAAAUAAAGUAAGACAGGAAGUCUGCAACGUUGCUAACAGAGAUACGUGGUUCCGCCCUUUGGUUAUCGUUAUAUUUUGUGUAAGGAUGAACACAGGUCUAUUUUGUCGUUGGAACAGUAUUUUUAUCGUCACCUUUGACAUGGUUCGUGUGGCCUGGAAGUGAACUUAAAAUUGCUUGAUUUUAAACGUUUUUUUCCCGUGGCCUUGGAAGUGCUUGGCUUUUACUCUUCACUGUUUGUCAGCGGUAUGUGCUCUUUUUUAAGAAAUAACAAAAUUUGAUAUUGAGCAAAUUGUUCGGGAAGACAUUGUAAUGUAAAAUGCAAUCGCGACCUACCUUGUAACGUAAUUAAAAAUUAACGUCCCGACUCACGGCAAUGUUUCAAAACCUGUCUAAUUUUUUUACUUUUGAGGGUGCGCGAAUCACAUAUGAGCUGCAUUAAAACCCCUCCAUAAAUGUUAAGAACACGACUGUAAUGAAACUGAAAAUCCCAUUAUUCCUGUUAAUGGGUCAGUUGCGCUGGUCAUAGAAUUGUGUGAUCAGGGCCGGAUGAAGGGGGUGGCCACAUGGGCCGCGGCCCAUGGCGGCAAAUAUAGGGAGCGGCAAAUGUUGUAAUUUUUUCAAAUGAAGGUAUCAAGAAAAAAAU